GUCGGACUCCAGUUCCCUUCUUCCGAAUUCCGGCGCCUAACGGGACGUUCAUUCCAGGGAGAUACGAGCGAACUGGUUCGUUUUCCUCAUCGGGUCCGGCUAGACCCGACUUCAGUGGGUGAGAAUGUUGUCCCCGCAUGGAACUUCGCCGCCGGCAAUGGCGGAUCAACCUCGGGAUUCAAUGAAAUUUAUUUGCAACGAACUAAGAUGUUUGAUUUUACUCUUUGCAAUUUUCUCGUUCAAGAAG
rnacentral:misc_RNA from 1 species